rnacentral:lncRNA from 1 species
AUAAAGCUUUGCCGCAGAAGAUUCCGGUUUGCUGCGUUCUUCCUGGCCGGUCGCGUGAACGCGUGUAAGAAGCCUGUGCCUCACUCGGAGGCAGUUGAGUGCAUGCUGCAUCUGUGAAGCCUGGAGCACCCUCAAGCACCACUCCUACUCCGGAUCAGUAUGUCGUGGAAAGUAGAACUCUCCGAAGAAGAGAACAUGUGCAUCUGGGAGAUCAGGGAGCUGCCUGGAAUCCACACACACCAUGUGAGCAUGAAGGAAGAGCUGAGAAGCAAUCCCAGAGACAAGGGGAAAGGCACCAAGCAAGACCCUUCUUGUCGUCAGAAGGAGCAGACCCAUACUGUACUUUUUUGUUGGAUUUCCAGCCUCAGAGUCCCACUCCUACCCUGUUCUGUGCCGGUUAGGGAAGAAGAACUUCUGUUGUGUCCAUGAACAGAGAACAGCAGCGGUCUCUAACUUCCGCACAGGGGAACCUGCAGGUGUUGGAGACAGUGGAAUGGCCUCGGAUGAUGAAUCAGGGAGGCUGUGUCCUCUGCUCUCUGGCCCUCCACCGUUCAUUCUCCUGUGUAAGUGCCAGUGUGUGUUUCUUUCUCCAGCCUCACGCUCUAAACAAGAUGCCUCUGGCAGAGGCCCGGGUAGAUGGAGUCUCUCAAGUCCAGUACAACUUCAUUGUCCCUGACUUAUGAAGGGUGAGGUUUCCGCCAUCUCCUAUGACGAGGAGUCUCAGUCCCCAUACGUAGAGGGAACAUUUCUGUCUGACCCUAGCAAGGAGUCAGGAGACAUGCACAAUGCUGGUCUGACUUGCACCGAGCUGGAAGGAGUGACAGAAAGGCCAUGAGGAGACCUGGUUUCUUGAACCAUAUGAAUCAGUGCCCACCAAGUGUCCUGCAGAGACCCUGUUGCUGGCCCUGGCCCGGGCCCUGUGCCGGGUGACAUCUACUUUAAGUCGAAGUGUUUACUCAUCAAGACGUCUUUGCCGACACGCACACUUGCCUGAAGACAUCACGCACACAUGCGUAAGCACUCACGUGGACCCGAGGGUUUGCAGCCUCACAGGAACAGUGCUCGUGGAGGAAGUCCUGUGUGACUCAUUCUGUUUGUGUGCUUGGCUGAUGUUUCCGGUUUCCAUGUAAUUUGCUCCUUUUGUAUCAAGACAGAAGUAACGGUGU